rnacentral:rRNA from 1 species
UCACCUAAGGCUAAAUAUUGGCGAGAGACCGAUGGCGAACAAGUACCGUGAGGGAAAGAUGAAAAGAACUUUGAAAAGAGAGUUAAACAGUACGUGAAAUUGUUGAAAGGGAAACGAUUGAAGUCAGCCGUGCUGGCGCGAAAUCAACCCUCUCAUCGGGAGAUCACAUGUUGUGGCGAGCCUCAAAACCGCCACAGCGUGUGACCUCACGAUGAGGGGGAGCACUUUCGUGUCCGCUGGUUAACAUCAAUUUCGAACGUCAUAAAAAGGCUGGAGGGAUGUGGCUCCUUCGGGAGUGUUAUAACCUUUAGCGGAAUGUGGUGGUCGGGAUUGAGGACUGCAACGAAUACCUUUAGGGCUGUUCCACCUGGCCUCUCUUUGGUAUCCUGGUGACGACAGCUUGCUGACGUUGUUAGGAUUCGCCUUUGAACGGGCUAGAGUGUGAGCAA